rnacentral:rRNA from 1 species
UAGCGGCGGACGGGUGAGUAACACGUGGGUAACCUGCCCAUAAGACUGGGAUAACUCCGGGAAACCGGGGCUAAUACCGGAUAACAUUUUGCACCGCAUGGUGCGAAAUUCAAAGGCGGCUUCGGCUGUCACUUAUGGAUGGACCCGCGUCGCAUUAGCUAGUUGGUGAGGUAACGGCUCACCAAGGCAACGAUGCGUAGCCGACCUGAGAGGGUGAUCGGCCACACUGGGACUGAGACACGGCCCAGACUCCUACGGGAGGCAGCAGUAGGGAAUCUUCCGCAAUGGACGAAAGUCUGACGGAGCAACGCCGCGUGAGUGAUGAAGGCUUUCGGGUCGUAAAACUCUGUUGUUAGGGAAGAACAAGUGCUAGUUGAAUAAGCUGGCACCUUGACGGUACCUAACCAGAAAGCCACGGCUAACUACGUGCCAGCAGCCGCGGUAAUACGUAGGUGGCAAGCGUUAUCCGGAAUUAUUGGGCGUAAAGCGCGCGCAGGUGGUUUCUUAAGUCUGAUGUGAAAGCCCACGGCUCAACCGUGGAGGGUCAUUGGAAACUGGGAGACUUGAGUGCAGAAGAGGAAAGUGGAAUUCCAUGUGUAGCGGUGAAAUGCGUAGAGAUAUGGAGGAACACCAGUGGCGAAGCGACUUUCUGGUCUGUAACUGACACUGAGCGCGAAAGCGUGGGGAGCAACAGAUUAGAUACCCUGGUAGUCCACGCCGUAAAC